rnacentral:rRNA from 1 species
UACGUAGGGUGCAAGCGUUGUCCGGAAUUAUUGGGCGUAAAGGGCUCGUAGGCGGUCCAUCGCGUCGGGAGUGAAAAGCUGGGGCUCAACCCCAGUCCUGCUUCCGAUACGGGUGGACUAGAGGUAUGCAGGGGAGAACGGAAUUCCUGGUGUAGCGGUGAAAUGCGCAGAUAUCAGGAAGAACACCCGUGGCGAAGGCGGCUCUCUGGUACGGAACUGACGCUGAGACGCGAAAGCGUGGGGAGCGAACAGG